UCCCCCCAGGAUGCUGACGGGGGUCAGGGGCUUCGUGCUGGACUUUGUUUUCCUAGGCUGGGGCUCAGCCUCCACCUGUGGGAGAAGCUGCCCUCCACACUCCUGCAAAUCCUGCUGGGACACUCAGGCUCUCCAUUCCGGGGCUCUGCAGCUCCCGUGCAAACCCAUCCAUCACUGUGUCCCCUCUCACAUGGAUAUCAAGGAAAUGACACAGCAAUGUCCAGAAAACCUGAACUUGAUUAACUUGACUGCUCUAAAAAUCUGCAGCUGGGGGGUAAUUGGAAGACUACGGGGUGAGAACCUUAUGCCUCCAAAAAGGGUCAAGAGUUUGGAACUGGAACACUCAGGGAAACUUCAGCUUCUGGGGGAAAAGGUGGCUGGGAGCUCUGCGGCUGAGGAUGUGGGGCUUCACUAACAAUGGGAAAGGAGGGGAGAAGGGGUAAAAGGGGAGGUUUAGGAGCCCUAAACGUGGCGUGAGGGGGGUGGGUCAUCCCCAAACUGAGCCAAGGGGAGCAGGGAUUUGGGAGGACUAUGGGAAAGGGGUGGGAGAGGGGGGAUAAAAGGAGGGGGGACAGUGGGAAAGUGUCCCCACCACUUGAAUCCCUGGAGCGAUUCUUUGGGGCUUGCGGGGGAGGGGGGAUGGAUCCGCACUGGAGGGGUCCCCAAGCCCCCUGCCCAUCCCUGGGGGGCUCAUGGGGGAUUCCCCCACCCAACACCCAGUGCUGCAGGGGGCGGGGGGGGGAGGGGGUAAGAAAUAAGGGACCGGGUGGGCACAGAGGAGGAGCGGGGGGAGGAAGAGGAAGAAGAGAGGAGGAGGAGCAGCAGGAAGAGGAGGAGCAGGACGAGGAGCCGAAGGAGACGCACGACGUUCGCUGCCCGCUCUCCGCCGCAGCCUCGGGAGCAUCGUCUCCCCUACAUCCCGCAGGAUUUGUCAUUCCCAAGGCGUGGCCAGAUGGAGGAGGAGGA